rnacentral:rRNA from 1 species
CAAGGCUUGACAUGGACCGGAUCGCCGCAGAAAUGUGGUUUCUCCUUUGGGGCCGGUUCACAGGUGGUGCAUGGUUGUCGUCAGCUCGUGUCGUGAGAUGUUGGGUUAAGUCCCGCAACGAGCGCAACCCUCGUUCCAUGUUGCCAGCACGUAGUGGUGGGGACUCAUGGGAGACUGCCGGGGUCAACUCGGAGGAAGGUGGGGACGACGUCAAAUCAUCAUGCCCCUUAUGUCUUGGGCUUCACGCAUGCUACAAUGGCCGGUACAAAGGGUUGCGAUACUGUGAGGUGGAGCUAAUCCCAAAAAGCCGGUCUCAGUUCGGAUUGGGGUCUGCAACUCGACCCCAUGAAGUCGGAGUCGCUAGUAAUCGCAGAUCAGCAACGCUGCGGUGAAUA